AUGGCGGCAACCAGUGACGAAGAAAUGGAUUCCCUGCUCUCCAAUUUCGGUAAGAUCUUCGAGGAUUUCAAGUGCAGCAUUGCAGAAAUACAGUCGUUGAGAUCGAACUGUAUCGCUGAGAUGAAGAGGCGUGAAGUCCUAGAAAUCGCUUGUAAUAAUAUCAAGCAAGAGAAUGAGCGACUGAGCAAAUUGUACACAGAAUCUCUAAAUAAUCUUGCUGAGCAGCUUGAACGCCGUACCAAAUGUCAGAGCCUCAGGGAAGAACUUAAGAGAGUGAGUGAUGAACGUCUCCAUCAAGACGAUGAACACAGGAAAGCCAUAGAUUUGCUUAAGCAAGAUUAUGACGCAAAGGUUGGACUCUUGGAGGGUCAAAUCAGGGGCCUCCUGCUUGAAAAAGCAACAAGUGAAGCAACCAUAAAUCUCCUCCGCGAAGAUUUAGCAGCGCAUAAAACUCAUAUACAGACUCUUGCAAAGAGAUUCGACCGCAUCCAAUUUGAUGUGGAAUCUAAAUAUAACCUCGAGAUUCAGGAUCUGAAGGACUGUCUUAUGAUUGAACAGGAAGAGAAAAAUGAAUUAAGCAAGAAACUCCAGGAACUGGAGAAGGAAGUGCUGAUCAGCAGAACAAACCUGGUUGAACAUCAAAGAGAUACGAUUUCAAGUCGGCUUGUAGAAACGCUUCAACUGAAAAUCAUGAAACUAAGGAAGGAGAAGGAGAUCCUUAAGAGGAAGCUCCCAGGUUCAGAGGAGGAUGGGUAGAGAAAUGGUAUCUAAAGUAAGCUGUUUGGGGUGUGAUUCAAUCGGACCUGUCUAUCAAGAAUCUUAACCAAGCAAGUAUGCGUGGAAAGCUGACCAUUUGUAGCCUGGCUCUUCAAUCAGAUGCUGUAGACAUUCUGCUAUUUCUUUCUCGAGAAAUGAUUCUUGCAGUCGUGAGAAUCUAAAACAGGGGCAGGCAACGACUCUAGCCAAUAACGUUUCAGCAUC